GGUAAAGUGGGAAGCGGUGAGGCUGCCGUGCUGACGGUCCGGCGCCGUCCUUCAGAUCACCUGUCGCCACCAUGGAGCGUGUUUUGUUUUCCCGGAAGCAACUAGGCGGCUCGCAGGCUCACGGCGGAUGUUGACAGAGGCGGAUUAACGGGUUUUCGGGGCGGAGGAGGGACGACAUUUGUGACGGAGCCGGUUUCAAGCAUUUUGUGGUUCUGACACGGGGCUAACGUUAGCUUAGCCACGAAAGACUCCGGAGCUUCAAUGAGACGUGGAGCCCGAUAAAAGGUCUUGAAGCUGUUUGACGGUCAACGCGUCUGUCUAGUGUCGGUCGAGCCUGGGAACACAAGUGCGGUGUGUUCCAAAGACGAACGAACGGUUGGUACGUGGCUGGUGGGGAGAUUUGUGGACUAUGGGGACUCAAGGACCCGGCAGAAGGAGGCUGCCGAACCUGGAGAAGCUGACCGCAGAGGACGAUGCUCUCAAACAGAUCGCCCGGGAGGCGGAAGCGCGUUUGGCAGCGAGGCGGGCAGCGAGGGCGGAGGCCAGAGAUAUUCGGAUGAAAGAGCUGGAGAGGCAACACAAAGAGAAGUAUUACGGUCUGGAUUAUAAAUGGGGUCACAUUGAACAGUGGAUGGAGGACGGCGAGCGCUAUUCUCGCCACUCGCGGAGAAUCGCUUCGCUGUCAGAUGAUGAAGAGCGGAUGUCUGUGGGGAGUCGAGGCAGUCUAAAGCCUUCAGACUACAGCUCAUUUCUCGGUUCUGGCUCUCGGGCAUCCUCCAGAGCUAGUUCAGCUCGGGCAAGCCCUGUGGUGGAGGACAGACUUGACAGAGAUUUUCUGGAUAGAGGCUCCAGGACAGCAAUGAACCUUUCUGCAGCCACUCUAUCGCCGCUGGGUGGAGCUUCAUCUCGCAGAGGAAGCUGUGACACAUCAAUCUCCGUAGAGAUGGAGGCAUCAAUCAGGGAGAUGAAGGACUCCGUGGCAGAGGCAGAGGAAAAGUAUCGCCGGGCGAUGGUUUCAAAUGCUCAGCUGCACAACGACAAGUCAACUUUGAUGUAUCAGGUGGAAACUCUGCGGGAGGAACUGAGUGACAUGGAGGAGCUGCUUUGGGAGGCGCGACGCCAAUCCGAUGAGCGCACAAAGGCAUAUGAGCGUGAGCGGGACUGUCACUUUGUCCUUCAGUUCCAGUUUAAAGAGAUGAAAGAGACUAUGAGACGAAGUGAAGAACUGCUGAUGGAAGCGUCACAGUUACGAGAACAAACACAUGCUUACUCUCUGGAGGUGUCUGACUUGCAGGAGGCUCUGCAGUGGAAGGAGAAGAAGAUUGCGGCUUUAGAGCGUCAGAGGGAAAUCUCUGACGUCAUUCAAAUCGAGCGCGACCAGCUGAGAGUUGAGGUGCUCACCCUCCGAGAUGUUCUCAAGAAAUACGGAGAGGUCAUUUCCCCUGAGGUCGCAACCAAUGGGGGGCCUAGAUUGGACGAGGCUGAGGAAGAGGUCAGCAACAGCUUUGCAUCCCAGUUGGCAAAGGAAGCUCCCGGGAGCAGAGAGAGCAUGCUGGGCAGCACUGGAGACAUGACAUCUCGCCUUUGUCACAUAAAUAAACCCUCCCAGUCGCUCAGUUUCAUCUCGAUUGGCAAGCACGUACAAGCUUCAAAUGUGAGCCGGGAGGCCCGUGCAAGAAAACAAAUGACUUACAAAGGAAGAAGAAAAGAUCAGAUGAGGACAUUUCCCACCAGACUGAAGGGAAAGUGUGUGUCCAAGAACAAGGCAAUCACAAAACAAGCAUUGAAGCAGCGUGGAAACUCUGCACUUGAAUUGACUUUUGUACCCAAAUUCAAGUCAUUUGUAGAGUCACCAGAUGAAGCUCAGUUGUCCAAACAUCAGCGCGAAAGCCAUACAAAACUCCAAAAAUCCACCUCGCAUAUUUGUAGGACUUCCACUGAAAAAGUCCACAAACCAGGUAAGCCUUUACCUGUCUGGGACAUGAUCUUGGAACAAAAGAACCUCAGGUCUGGAAACUCAGCAGACCAGCAGAAGACAUAUCACAUCACCUUAUCUUUGUCACCUCAACACAAAACUUUGCAGUAUGACUCUAACCGCUCGACAGGCCAGACAAUGAAUGAGAAGCUCGCUCAAGGUUUCUUUGCACCCACUGGGGUGAGAGACUCUGUGGACCCACAUUGUUCAGCAAGUCUCAUACGUGAAGAUUUCAAGGACUGUCCUGCAAAAUAUGAGGGAACAGGAAAUACGUCAGAGAAAUGUGAGACAUCUAAUGAAGAGGCAGAUCAACCAAAUAUGACCGACUUCCUCACAAAGUGGCCAGCAGAUUCGGCGACCUCUGAUGCUGUCGGUCAAAGUUGCAAGUUCCGAAGGUUUGUUGAGGAAAUCAAGGUCAUGGCGGCUCCUGAAUGGGUACUGCAAGAACUCCCAGAAGGAAAACUCUUUGAAGAGCAGCACUGCAGCCAGAUCCUGGAGACAAAUAUGCAAGCGAUCCAGGAGGCAUCAGUGGCAGACAUGGACAGUUGCGAGGAGGCCCAUGAGGAGAUGGCGCAGUAAUCAGCUGCUAUAUAGCAGGAGUCAGCCGAGAGUAAAAGAAGAACAGAGUCUAAACAUCAAGAAAUGCAAAAAUAUUUCCAAGCUCUCCUAGUGGAAGGAAACAAUAAAUUUUUCGUCAAAUGUGGAGUUGCUGGGCAGCACGGUGUACAAGUGGUUAGCCUGUCUGCCUCAAUUCUGAGGUUGGGGUUUGAAUCUUUUAGAAGAAGAAGAAUCACCUUUUAUUGUCAUGAACAUGCAUGCAUGCACACGAAAUUUAUUCUCUGAAUUUUACCCAUCACAGUGAACACAUACACAUUCACGUUAGUGGAACACACUGGAGCACGGGGCCGCUGAAGCGCACAGGGAGCAUUUCAGGGUAUCAGUGUCUUGCUCAAGGACACCACAGCCGUGAGUCCGGGGGAUGGUCCAGUUGGGGUCUUGAACCUAGGUCCCCCACAGUGGCAGACAAUGAUCUUAACCAUUUGGCCACAGCUGUCAGCACUCAUGUGCAGAGUUUGCAUAUUCUUUCCUUGUUUGUGUGGGUUUUCUGUAGGUGCUACGGCUUCCUCCCAUGUUCCAAAAACAGCUUGGUAUGAUGAUUGAAGACUAUAAAUCAGGGGUGUCCAAACUGCAGCCUGCUGUCAGUUUUUUUUAGCCUGUGAAAUACAGUAGUGUCUUGAGGUGUGAGUGACUCGACUUACGAGCCAUAAUUUGGCCGAUUUUCUUAAUUUCAUGUGAGAUACGAGCGCUGUACGGCGGCAGUGAAUUCAACUGAACUCACUUUAAAACAAGCAGCAGUUUGGCAUAUAGAAUUAGCGAACAACUCUCCAAAAAAUAAUAUAUUGCCUCCCCCAGUUGAAGUGUACCGUCAAAGUAAACAUAAAACAAUGACAAUUACGCAUUGUGUAUUUAAAACAACAACAUAACUUUGCUUUAAAGGCUGCUAUCUUAAUACUAAAACAUAAUGGACAAUUAAGUUGUGUGUAAAAAUGUGAAAUGUCACAGGGAUAAACUAUUGAACACAUGAAGAUAGGGAGGUGCAAAAAGCCAUGGAAAGCCAAGACAACAACUAAAAUCUCUCAAUAAUCAAACAGUAAUCCAGCCCCUUGUCAGUGCAAAUGAAUAUCAGCUGUUUCAGUCCUAAUUGAUGGACUACAUAAGGGUCUAAUUGCCAAGGUGUGAGUCAAGACACAUCUCAUGAUGGGUAAGAGCAGAGAGCUGUCUCAAGACCAUCGCAAACUAAUUGUUGCAAAACAUAACGAUGGCAUUGGUUACAGGCGCAUAUCUAAGCUUCUGAACGUUCUAGUGAGCACGGUCAUAAUAUGUACAGUUAAGUGGAAAGCCAAUCAUACCACCAUAAAUUUGCCUCGAUCAUGUGCUCCUUGAACCAUUUCUGACAGAGAAGUGCAAAGACUAAUCAGAAGAGUUCUCCAAGAGCCAAUGACCACAUGUGGAGAGCUUCAAAAAGACCUGGAAUUAGCAGGUACUGUUGCCACAAGAAAAGUAAUAAUAAAAGUAGUUAUGUACUCCGCCGCCAUGGCCUAUAUGCUCGCUUACCACGCAAGACCCAUUUCUGAAAAUAAAGCAUGUCAAAGGUCAUUUAAAGUUUACUGAACAACAUUUGGGCGAGCCAGUUGAAUUCUGGGAGUAUAUAGUCUGGUCGAAUGAGAGCAAAAUUGAACUCUUCGGAUGCCAUAAUGCACACCACGUUUGGAGGAGAAAUGGCACUGCACAUCACCUUAAAAACACCAUACCAACAGUGAAGUUCGGAGGUGUGGGGCUGCUUUCAGCAAAUGGUACUGGUAAACUUCACAUUAUUGAAGGAAGGAUGAAUGGGCAAAUGUACCGAAACAUUCUUGACAAAAAUAUCCUGGCAUCUACGAGGAUGAUGAAAAUGAAACGAUAUUUGAGCAGGAUAAUGAUCCAAAACAUACUGCCAAGGAAACUCUCAAUUGGUUUCAAGAAAAAAAACAAAGCUGCUCGAAUGCCUCAGCCAAUCACUUGACUUGAAUCCAAUUGAAAAUCGAUGGGAAGAACUGAAACUCAAGGUCCAUAAAAGCCCACAGAAGCUUCAAGAUUUGAAGACUGCUUGUGUGGAGGAGUGGGCCAAAAUCACACCAGAGCAAUCCGUGCAACUAGUUUCCCCAUACAGGAGGCGUCUUGAAGCUGUCAUUGCAAACAAAGGCUUUUGUACAAAGUAUUAAAGAAACACCAUUUGGCGUAUUCAAUACAUUUUCCCUGUGUCAUUUCACAUUAUUACACAUAACUUAAUUUCUGAACGUAUUUGUUGUAUUUUCUUUGAAUGUAUUGAUUACUUGGGUUGUUCCCAACAUCUGGUGACAUUUUCAUGUCAAUAGCACCUUGGGAAAUAUAUUUAAUGAGAAAAAUGGUGACGUGUUAAAUGCUUAUUUCAGCCGUUGUAUUUUGCGGAGUUACAGUAUAACCCUUUAAGCAACGGAACGUACAGCAACACAUGUAAACAGAUAAUAUAACAGCAUUCACAGUCAUUUAUCCUCUAUGAAGGAUGAUUAAUAAUAGAGCAUUUCUGAGGGCUUAUCUGAAGUCCUAGCUCCUUAGUCCUUAAAACAUUGAAAGCGAGCCAGUUGUUGUCAUGCUGCCAUAUUAAGGAUAGUCUCAGUUGUCUUAAAUGCGCAUCAAGGAGCUAGCUUCCACGGGCUAGCUUAAAUCGAGGGACAUCUGAUGUAUCCCCUGCGGAAGUCUCAUAGCUCCUUGACGGUGACGUAUGAAAAUGGCCGUGCACCAGCUGUAAAUGGAACAGAACUUCAAAUUAAAUAGUUAAUCCUCUCUUUUCAUCAUUCCUUGAUUAUUUUAGUUUGAAUAUACAUAUUUUGCUGUGUCUCUUCUUUUUGGGGCCGUAUUUGAUACCGAAAUGACCUCAUUACACUGGCUCGUGGUGACUACGCCUAAUACCAACCACCUAUCGCUGAGAGCUGCAUCUGAAGAAGCUAUUUGAAGAAAGAGAAAGUUUCCAGGAUCAGGUGAGA